rnacentral:misc_RNA from 1 species
UCUCCGUAGGUGAACCUGCGGAGGGAUCAUUACAGAGUUCAUGCCCUACCGGGGAGAUCUCCCACCCUCUGUUAUUAAUACUUUGGUGCUUUGGCGGGCCGUUAGGCUCCGGCCCGACUACCGGCCCCGGCUGGUAAGCGCCCGCCAGAGGACCCAAAACCCUGAAUAUUAGUGUCGUCUGAGUAAUAUAUAAUAGUUAAAACUUUCAACAACGGAUCUCUUGGUUAUG